rnacentral:rRNA from 1 species
AGAGUUUGAUCCUGGCUCAGAUUGAACGCUGGCGGCAUGCUUUACACAUGCAAGUCGAACGGCAGCACGGGUGCUUGCACCUGGUGGCGAGUGGCGAACGGGUGAGUAAUGCACCGGAACGUAUCCAAUAAUGGGGGAUAACGCACCGAAAGGUGUGCUAAUACCGCAUACGCCCUGAGGGGGAAAGCGGGGGAUCGUAAGACCUCGCGUUAAUGGAGCGGCCGAUGCCGGAUUAGCUAGUUGGUGGGGUAAAGGCUCACCAAGGCGACGAUCCGUAGCUGGUCUGAGAGGACGACCAGCCACACUGGGACUGAGACACGGCCCAGACUCCUACGGGAGGCAGCAGUGGGGAAUUUUGGACAAUGGGGGCAACCCUGAUCCAGCCAUGCCGCGUGAGUGAAGAAGGCCUUCGGGUUGUAAAGCUCUUUCGCAAGGAAAGAAAUCUUACCCUCUAACAUAGGGUGAGGAUGACGGUACCUUGGUAAGAAGCACCGGCUAACUACGUGCCAGCAGCCGCGGUAAUACGUAGGGUGCGAGCGUUAAUCGGAAUUACUGGGCGUAAAGCGUGCGCAGGCGGUUU